rnacentral:rRNA from 1 species
UACGAAGGGGGCUAGCGUUGUUCGGAAUUACUGGGCGUAAAGCGUGCGUAGACGGUUAUUUAAGUCGGGUGUGAAAGCCCCGGGCUCAACCUGGGAAUUGCAUUCGAGACUGAAUAGCUAGGGUACGGUAGAGGGAAGCGGAAUUUCCGGUGUAGCGGUGAAAUGCGUAGAUAUCGGAAGGAACAUCAGUGGCGAAAGCGGCUUCCUGGACCAGUACCGACGUCAGGCACGAAAGCGUGGGGAGCAAACAGG